rnacentral:rRNA from 1 species
GACGAACGCUGGCGGCGUGCUUAACACAUGCAAGUCGAACGAUGAAGAAGAGAAACGCGAACUUCGGUUCAAAUUUCACUUCGGAUUAGUGGCAGACGGGUGAGUAACGCGUGAGCAACCUACCUCUUACAAAGGGAUAGCCUCGGGAAACCGUGAUUAAUACCAUAUGACACAUUCAUAAGGCAUCUUAAGAAUGUUAAAGCUACGGCGGUAAGAGAUGGGCUCGCGUCCCAUUAGCUAGUUGGUGAGGUAACGGCCCACCAAGGCGACGAUGGGUAACCGGUCUGAGAGGGUGAACGGUCACAUUGGAACUGAGACACGGUCCAAACUCCUACGGGAGGCAGCAGUGGGGAAUAUUGCACAAUGGAGGGAAGUCUGAUGCAGCGACGCCGCGUGAGCGAUGAAGGAAUUAGUUUCGUAAAGCUCUGUUAUAUGGGAAGAAAAGGACUGUACCAUAGGAGAAAGCCCCGGCUAAAUACGUG